rnacentral:rRNA from 1 species
UACGGAGGGCGCGAGCGUUAUCCGGAUUUACUGGGUGUAAAGGGAGCGUAGACGGCAUAGCAAGUCUGAAGUGAAAGCCCGUGGCUCAACCGCGGAACUGCUUUGGAAACUGUUAAGCUGGAGUACUGGAGAGGCAAGCGGAAUUCCUAGUGUAGCGGUGAAAUGCGUAGAUAUUAGGAGGAACACCAGUGGCGAAGGCGGCUUGCUGGACAGAGACUGACGUUGAGGCUCGAAAGCGUGGGGAGCAAACAGG